CUGGUAAUUACUUUUGGGGUCAAAGGAUUAAGCAGAAUUCUCCUCUUGCUCAUUGCCCUGUCGUGGUUUCAUGUAUAUGGUUAUCCGAGAGUGCGUUCCUGAUCUUGAUUUUCUGGUAUUUGGCUUUGUUUUGACUUCACUGAUAUCUGGUAUCCUUGAUGUUUGGCUUUCCCUCAUCUUUGUGUCUGAUUCCGUGUCCCUGACCUCGACAAGUAUUUUGACUAUUCUUGGAUACGUUCAGUCCGGCCAUUUUAAGGUCCGGUUAUAUGUUAUCCUUAGUCCUAGGUGUGACACAUUACUGCGUGCUGGAUCAACUUGUAAUCCUGACACAUCUA